rnacentral:misc_RNA from 1 species
ACGAGUUAGGGUCCUCUAGGCCCGACCUCCCAACCCUUUGCUUACCGAACCUCUGUUGCUUCGGCGGGCCCGUCUCACGACCGCCGGAGGACCGCCGCAGGGCGUGUCCUCUAGCCCGUGUCCGCCGAUAGCCAACUACAGAACUCUGUAUAAAUCAUGUCUCAUGUCUAAGUCAAAUUGAAUUAAAAGCA